rnacentral:lncRNA from 10 species
UCUUCCCCAACCAAUAACUUUUCUUAAUUUUUUUGUUCUGUUUUUAUAUGAUAUAGACAGUGUUUAUUCUAGUGGGCUUUUCUUUUCUGUGGCAUUCUCCACAAAGAAAAUUCCAGAUGAGAAAUUCGAAUUUUUAAAAAUUUCAUGUUGCUGCAGGAACCAAAAACCAAACACCACAUGUUCUCACUUAUAAGUGGGAGCCAAAUGAUGAAAACAUGUGGACACACGCAGGGGAACAACACACACUGGGGCCUGUCCAGGGGUGGGGGAGGGAGAGCAUCAGGAAGAACAGCUAAUGGAUGCUGAUCAUUCCCAUAGGAUGAGGGGAUGAUCUGUGCAGCAAACCACCAUGGCACACGUUUACCUAUGUAGUCCCAGCUACUCAGGAGGCCGAGGCAGAAGAAUCACUUGAACCCAGGAGGGAUAAGUAAGUUGCAGUGAGCCGAGAUUGUGCCACUGCACUUCAGCUUGGGGUGACAGAGUGAGACUCCAUCUCAAAAAAUAAAAAAGAGUUAUAAGUUUACUUAUUUCUGUAUAUUUGGCUCAGUUGGUAAUAUAUGAGGAAAGGACUUAACCUGUUUGGACAUUGCUACUAUUUGCAUGGCAUGGCCAUUUCUUGCCCUUCUGAGUCCUCUUAUUACACUGCAUGACUGGAAUUUUAGGUAGGGAAGAACAAAGAACCAUUGUCUUCAAUUGGAUUAACCUUUGCACCUUUGGCACCUCAAGUUGAGCCAGAAACCACUCUGAAGAUGAAGUGAGACACAAGAACUUUCCUCCAACAGGUUCAGUUAGGAAAAGAUAGGUAAGCAUGACAGCCAAAGUGGAAAAUGUGAACAGACGCAUAAGAAGUCACGUCUCACUGAAUCUAAAGUUUAAGCUAGCCUAUAUUUCAAUUGCUCCUAUUUCUAGUAGGACACAUAGUAUCAACACAAACAGUAACUACAUGUACGACUCAGAUGAGCUACAAUAAAGGCAUUUGGUUGAAUAAAAUUUUGAUAAGAUAGUAAUUAGUAAUCUGUUUAAUACCAUACCAAUAGUUGAAAAAGAACAAGAUUUGCAGAACUGAUAGAUGCCCAUUACUUUCUGGGAAAGGAAAUACAAUAGUAGAUGCUCAAAAAUGAUAAUAACUUUUCCAGAAACAUUUAAAAUGUACUGUAAUUAACU